GACGUAGGGCGCGAGCGUUGUCCGGAAUCACUGGGCGUAAAGGGCGCGUAGGCGGCUCGGUAAGUAGGGGGUGAAAUCCUGCGGCUUAACCGCAGGGCUGCCUUCUAAACUGUCGAGCUUGAGCACGGUAGAGGCAGAUGGAAUUCCCGGUGUAGCGGUGGAAUGCGUAGAGAUCGGGAAGAACAUCAGUGGCGAAGGCGGUCUGCUGGGCCGUUGCUGACGCUGAGGCGCGACAGCGGUGGGGAGCAAACAGG
rnacentral:rRNA from 1 species